CUACGGGUUGCACCAGUGGGGAAUCUUGGACAAUGGGCGCAAGCCUGAUCCAGCCAUGCCGCGUGAGUGAAGAAGGCCUUCGGGUUGUAAAGCUCUUUUGUCAGGGACGAUAAUGACGGUACCUGAAGAAUAAGCCCCGGCAAACUUCGUGCCAGCAGCCGCGGUAAUACGAAGGGGGCUAGCGUUGUUCGGAAUUACUGGGCGUAAAGCGCACGUAGGCUGACAUUUAAGUGAGGGGUGAAAUCCCGAGGCUCAACCUCGAAACUGCCCUUCAUACUGGGUGUCUCGAGUCCGGAAGAGGUUAGUGGAAUUCCCAGUGUAGAGGUGAAAUUCGUAGAUAUUGGGAAGAACACCAGUGGCGAAGGCGGCUAACUGGUCCGGUACUGACGCUGAGGUGCGAAAGCGUGGGGAGCAAACAGGAUUAGAUACCCGAGUAGUC
rnacentral:rRNA from 1 species